rnacentral:rRNA from 1 species
UACGGAGGGUGCAAGCAUUAAUCGGAUUUAUUGGGCGUAAAGGGCGCGUAGGCGGACUAGCCAGUCGAAUGUGAAAUACCAAAGCUCAACUUUGGGGCUGCAUUUGAAACUACUAGUCUAAGAGGAUUGGCGGAGAAAAUGGAAUUCCACGUGUAGCGGUGAAAUGCGUAGAUAUGUGGAAGAACACCUGUGGCGAAAGCGAUUUUCUAGCUUAUACCUGACGCUGAGGCGCGAGAGCAAGGGGAGCAAACAGG